rnacentral:misc_RNA from 1 species
AAGUCGUAACAAGGUUUCCGUAGGUGAACCUGCGGAAGGAUCAUUAAAGAGAUAGGGUCUUCAUGGCCCGCACCUCCAACCCUUCUGUUGUUAUAACAUACCUUGUUGCUUUUGGCGGGACCGUCUCGGUCUCCGAGCGCACUAACCCUCGGGUUGGUUGCAGCGCCCGCCAGCAGUCCCAACCAAACUCUUGUAUUAAAACCAGUCUGUCCUGAGUAUAAAAUUUUAAUUUAAAUUAAAA